GACGAACGCUGGCGGCGUGCUUAACACAUGCAAGUGGAGCGACGAACCAGGGCUUGCCCUGGGGCAAAGCCGCGAACGGGUGAGUAACACGUGGGUAACCUGCCUCGAUGAUCGGGACAACCCGGGAAAACCCGAGCUAAUACCGAAUGUGCUCCGACCACAUCAGUUGACGGCGUAAAGGAAGCUUCGGCCUCCGCAUCGAGAUGGGCCCGCGGCCCAUUAGCUUGUUGGUGGGGUAAAGGCCUACCAAGGCUUCGAUGGGUAGCUGGUCUGAGAGGACGAUCAGCCACACUGGGACUGAGACACGGCCCAGACUCCUACGGGAGGCAGCAGUGGGGAAUCUUGCGCAAUGCGCGAAAGCGUGACGCAGCAACGCCGCGUGGGGGAAGACGGCCUUAGGGUUGUAAACCCCUUUCAGGAGGGACGAAGGUUGGCACGUUAAUAGCGUGUCCGACUGACGGUACCUUCACAAGAAGCCCCGGCUAACUACGUGCCAGCCGCCGCGGUAAUAC
rnacentral:rRNA from 1 species